CUAAAAUCUUACAUGAAGACCAAAGCAAAAAUCUUAUUUUACAGCCUUCACACAACUCUUUUCCCUGUAGGAAAGUGCCUCUGUGACAUCUAAUUCAGAAGUUCAUGGUUACAGAGAAGAAAUUUUGGAUGACCCAAGGGCUAAGGCACAGCCACCUGUCCAGGCUGUGGGAGUGGCAGUCAGCCAGCCCAGAACAGCUUGAGGAUCUGAGCAAUGGAAACAGAAGAUGAAGCCACAGAAAACAUCCUCUGCUGGUUCCUGCAGGUCUGACAUGGAGAAAUGCUCUGCUCAAAAUCAGGCGUGCAAAAUUCCCCUUGUGCAGCCUCAGCUUUUGUAAUUGGCAUAGAAGAGCUGAAGAGGAUGAGAAUGCUGCAGAGAACACUGGAGCACAACAAAAGGACAGCCUUUAACAGCUCAGGAGCCCCAUCACAAAGUUCUCAAGGGCUUUUGGCAUGAAUUCUGGCUUUGUUUUCAGUUCAAACACCGGGUGUAAAGCCAAAUAAUUGUGUUAAGUUUGAAGUGAAAUGUUGAUUACAGAAAUCCACAAUGAAGAAACAGACCUGAGAUGCAGCCAAAAAACACUCAUUAAACAAGGAGUGAUGGCUUGGUACGGUAAGUAGGUAAACUUUACAAAGCUUUCCCAGUGGUAAAUUUCAAAAUCCUUUUCGUUUAGAGGUUGCAGAAGUAUGGUCUUCACUCCCAAAUGGCCAGGUACCUGCUUCAUCAAAGAGGCACAGAACAGCUGCUGAAUGAACACAAGUAUUACUUGAUUGCUUAAAAUGAAAAGUAAAAUUAAGAGCUGGGAGUCUUUAUAAACAUGAAAUGUAGCUCUGUCUCAUUCACUCACUCUCUGCCUGAGGAAGGAAAUCUGAUUGAGCACAAGAGGGUUUGAUUUACCCCUCCAAUCUGCAGUGCCACUGACAAAAACUCCAGAAAAAACCUUGGAGGGCUGGCAGAAAACUUCAAGUGCCUUGAUUGUAUUUUGUUCCUAAGCUGUUGGU
rnacentral:lncRNA from 1 species